GAGCUCAACCUGCAGGACUUCAUUCACCUGGAGAACAGGGAUCUGGUGGCGAUCAUCGCAGCUCUGGAGUACAACCAGUGGUUCACUAAACUCUGCACCAAAGACUUCAAACUGGCGACAGAUGUGUGCGACCAGAUCCUCAGAGUGGUGGCCCGGUCCGGCCGGCUGGAGGAGCUUGUGCUCGACAACACUGGACUCAGAAGUGAUUUUGCUCAGAACUGGCCAGCGCUCUGUCGCACAACCCCGCCUGCACGCUGCACACACUGAGCCUGAGCAACAACUCACUGGAGGAC